GGGGCAACCCCGGCGGCGCGUCCCCGCAGCGGGUCCGCUGCCCGCCACACGUUCCCAGGCUGGAUGCGACACGGGGCGGGGAGGAGCCGCCCGGGCGCUGCGUGCGGGGGCUCCUCACGCUCUUAAGGUGGCCCGGCACCCCGCCGCCCUGCCCGCGCUGCCUGUCUGGCCGCGGCAGGAGGGGGGAGCCGCCUGUGCCGCGCCCCGUACCGCCGGCGGGAGCGGGGCGUGCGGCCUUUGCCCGGGGUGACGGGGCUGUCUCCGGCGGGGGAAACCUCGCCGCGGGGAGACGCGCGAUAUAGAAAAGAAAGAUUUUCCGGGGUGAGAAGAGGUUUUGAAAAAACCCUAAACAAACCAACUAAAAACCAACCACCAAAUCCUACCCAGGAAGAAAACCAUGAUAGGAUACCUGUAUGUUACACUGGAUCACUGAGGUGCAUGUUUACUACUAGCUGCAAAUGAACGGUCCUUCAGCCAGGAUGUGGAAGAGAAUUCCUUCCUGAACACUGUAAGUUUCAGUGUCCUAACUGCCAAAAAACAAAGCCACUUCCUACACUUCCCUGGAUACCAGAAUCCCCAACUGCCCGCUACCCAUCUGUCAAAAUUUAUAGCUUUCCCUAGACAAAUACUAACAGUUCAGUCAUGCACAAAGCCAUUGGCAUCUUGAAAAAAUCAGAGAAAGAUAAAAUACAUUGAAUGUAAUGUAAAA